UUAUCAUGUCUGCAUCAAAUUUGAACUCAUGGAUACCCUAAAAUACUUGGAUUUUCUUAUUCAUUUUGAUCACUCUUGUUAAUCCAAGUAGGUGACUCUCCUUAUUAGAGCAGUUAACCCAAACCCAAACCUAGACUUUCUUUCAAGCCCUAUAUCACUUGUGAGUGUUUGUGAGGUCUUAUUCCGAUUAAGCUUGGUAGAAAGUGUUAGGUUCGCAACGACAGAGAUAGUGUCUCAUGUAGUUCUAGUUUGCAUUUUUCGGACUAGAUAGGACUAGGUGGGCGCUUAUACUUUGGGUUGGGAUGUGUUUAAAAGAAAAAAAGGGUUGAUUCAUUGAUAAGAAAAGGUAAAAGACUCUAGGUGAAGUAAGCUAAAGAAGCAAAAAAAGUAUAGUAAAGGUUUUGGGAUUUGUAAAGAAAAGAAAGAGUUCUUGUUAGCUAUUGAAGAUGGGCAAAAGCCCUUGGUUUUGAAAUGUUAAAAACAGGAACCUUAGUUGUUAAAGAAAUCCAAAUCCGCUAGAUGUAUCAAAGUGUUGAGAAAGCUUCUCCUAGAGUUAAGAGAAAAGAAAAGAAUGAUUAGAAAAAGGGCUUAAAAGAUUCUUGAAUGCAAAGGGUAGAGUUAAGUUCUUAUAUUGGGAUUGGAGAAGGGAUUACCAUUAGAGCUUCAUUUGAUGUACUCUGGGUAGAUGGAAACUUAUCUCUGUAUGCAUAGCUUGGGACUUACCUUUAGCAUUAUACUAAAGCUUAAUCAUUUUUUGAGAGAUCCCCUGUUACUGAAGCCUAUUUUGUAAGGGACCAUCUUUGUCUCUUGACCUUUUACCUUAGCCAAAUGAGUUCGUUGAUGAUGUAUUGCUUGAUUCAUGUUCCAGAACUAAUGAAUGUUAAAGGGAUUGGUAGAUUUGAAAACUUGUGUAGGUCGAGCAUAUGAGUCGGAUUGAUUGAUGAUGAGGCAUGGCUAACGUUUUUAAGUAGAAUUCGAUCUUGCAGCUUAGAACUUUCCACUUGGACAUUGAUUUCAUCUGGUUUAUCUGGUGCUUUGGCUCUGAGUCCCCGCUUUCAAACCUCACCUCCAGCUUGUUCUUCAUUGUUUGCUUGAGGGCAAGCAAAGACUAAGUUUGGGGGAGUUGAUAAGUGUGUAUUUUGCAUGUUUUGAGCAUCCAUUUGUCAUCACUUUAGCAUCAUAUCAUCACUGUUUUAUACCAUUUCUCAUCAUUUGUCAUCACUUUACAUGUUUAGGAUAGAUUUGCAUGCAUGUUGCAUAUUUGCGUUGAUUUCAGGUGAUUUGGAGCUGUUGACGAGCUAUCUGGAAGAAGCGGACCUGAUCAUGUCAAACCACUCGACCCCGAGGUCGAGUAGGAGCUUCAAGAUCUCAACAGAUCACUCGACCCCCUGGUCGAGUAGAGGACAUCACUACUUCACCACAUCACUCGACCCCGAGGUCGAGUGUCUUCAUCCCAUCACCUGACCAUCACUCGAUCACAUCACUCGACCCCGAGGUCGAGUGUCUUCACCUUCAUCGCCAGACCACUACUCGAUCUCGCCACUCUACCUUGAAGUCGAGUAUCUCCAUCACAACCACUCGACUACAUACUCGAUGGCAAGCUCCAGAGUCUUCUUCAUCCUGCACUCAACCAGACACUCGAGCACAAGGAAGAAAAGAAGACUCCAACUAUUCACUCGACCUCCCACUUGACCACUUAGGUCGAGUACAGUUCUUAAUCCGUCCCAAUACUUCGUCGUUUUGAGUAUUAGGGUUUUGGAAUAUUUU
rnacentral:sRNA from 1 species